AAGAGCAUUCCGACCUGUUUUUAGAGAUCCGACAAGUCGAAAAAAUCAGUACUUUUUGAGUUCGGACUAAACAAAGAUCACGCCAUUUGUCACUGGUCACAUCUAAAUUCCUAGCAUAAUCUGAGGAUAAUUAUCAUUACAACUUAAAUAGGGAAUUGGAGAAGAUCCACUAUAUAAACAAGGUAAAGUUUCAGAAACAAGUAUGCAAACAAAACUCUUACUUCUAUUAUACUAAAUACUCAAUUCAUA
rnacentral:misc_RNA from 1 species